AUAUGAUUUUCUAAGAUGAAGUGACGAUUUUUCCUGUCAGAGUCUUCACAAAAAUCUGCAUGCCUCCCCUCAACCUCAGCACCAAGUGCAGAGUUGGCUCCUUCUGAAUGUUAUAGUCUGCCAAUGUUCGGCCGUCCUCAAGCUGUUUGCCAGCAAAGAUCAGCCUCUGCUGGUCUGGUGGGAUUCCCUCCUUGUCCUGAAUUUUAGCUUUAACAUUAUCAAUGGUGUCGGAGCUGUCACCUUCAAGGAUUAUUGUCUUCCUAGUAAGGGUUUUGACAAAAAUCUGCAUGACACCACGAAGCCUCAACACCAAGAAGAGUGUUGACUCCUUCUGAAUGUUAUAGUCAGCGAAACUACGACCAUCCUCAAGUUGUUUACCAAUGAAAAUGAGCCGCUGUUGGUCUGGUGGGAUGCCUUCCUUGUCUUCUAUCUUGACUU
rnacentral:lncRNA from 1 species